AUGCUUAUGCCUUGGUUCACAGCAAAUUUUGAAGAGCUGCCGGAGGAGAGCAAACUGCAGCCCGGGGAUGUCCUGCUCUUCCCUUUACAGAACAAACCUGUAUUUCUCGCACAAAUCUUCAAGCAUGCUGCCGUCUACUGUGGGGAUGAGGAGAUCAUCCACUUCCAGAACACAAACGAUCAUGCAAAUGGAGGACAAAUCUGCAAGGAAGGCCUCCAUGCUACGUUAAAGAAGAGGGGGAAAUGCCAGACUUACAGGAAAAAGGCUGGGGUUGACCUUGAUGCUUUCCAGAAAAAAGUCCGGAAGGUGAUGAACAGCACAGCCCAGUACAGUCUCACGGGAAACAACUGCAUCCACUUCGCACUCUACCUGCUGGGCUUGUCCGAUUUCUACUCAGAGGCAGUUAAAAUCAAGAAGAAUGACAGCCGUGGCAGUAGAGUGAGUAUUUGCAUGAGUGUCACUGCUCCCUCCAGGGCUGGGUCUCCAAGGAGGGCUGGAGUCCAUAAGGAGGGAUGCGGUUCGUAAGGAGGGCUGGGGUCCCCAGGGAGAUUUGGGUUCCCCAAGAGGCUCCUGGUCCAUAGGAACGUCACAGAAUCAUAGAAUAUCCCAGCUUGGAAGUGACCCACAAGGACCACUGAGUCUAACUCCUGGCUCCACAUAGGACUAUCUAAAAGUGAAACUGCAUUUCUAAAUGCUUCCUGAUCUCUGGCAGGUUCCGUGCAAUGACCCUGAGAGACCCUGUUACAUGUUCUGACCACCCUCUCUGUGAAGAACCUUUUUCUGACACCCAGCCUGACCCUCCCCUGUUCCAGCUCCAUGCCGUUCCCUCGGGUCCUGUCGCUGUCCCCAGAGAGCAGAGCUCAGCACCUGCCCCCCUGCUCCCUUCGUGAGGGAGCUGCAGGCCGCCAUGAGGCCUCCCCUCAGCCUGCUCUGCUCUUGGCCCUCAGCCGCUCCUCACGCAGCUUGCCCCCAGACCCUCACAAUCUUUGCUGCUCUCCUUUGGACGCCUUCUAAUGGUUUUAUGUCCUCCUUAUAUUGCCUGGGUCCCCAGGAGGGUGGGCCCCCAAGGAGUUACUGGGGUGUCCAAGGAGGGUGGUGGUCACCAGGCCGCUCGUGUUCCAGGGGAGCAAGCAGAAGGUGUGAGGGGGCGGCUAGCGGCCCGUUCCCCUCCAUGUCCAGGGCAGCCAUGUCCCUUUGUCCCCACGCUUUGUCUUUCCACGCAUCUGCUUCCUGCAAAUCAUGACUUUUUGGGGGUGUCCUUUCUAUUUUGUUUUGCGCUGGAUCAUUUCAAAGACACCACUCAGCACCCUCUGCGCGGGAAAGAAACAUUAAUCAGCUGCUUUAUUAAUUAUUUCCACCUAGUCUGCUCAUAUUUGCUGCUUCAUAUCCUGAGUGACUGGGUGAAGUAACUGCCCAGAUGAAAGUCACUAUUUCUGUCUUAAUGAAAAUAUGAAAUAAAAAAUGUUAA
rnacentral:lncRNA from 1 species